rnacentral:rRNA from 1 species
AUUGAACGCUGGCGGCAUGCUUUACACAUGCAAGUCGAACGGCAGCGCGGGCUUCGGCCUGGCGGCGAGUGGCGAACGGGUGAGUAAUGCAUCGGAACGUGCCCAGUAGUGGGGGAUAGCCCGGCGAAAGCCGGAUUAAUACCGCAUACGACCUGAGGGUGAAAGCGGGGGACCGAAAGGCCUCGCGCUAUUGGAGCGGCCGAUGUCGGAUUAGCUAGUUGGUGGGGUAAAGGCUUACCAAGGCGACGAUCCGUAGCUGGUCUGAGAGGACGACCAGCCACACUGGGACUGGGACACGGCCCAGACCCCUACGGGGGGCAGGAGGGGGAAAUUUUGGACAAUGGGGGAAACCCUGACCCAGCCAGGCCGCGGGCGGGAAGAAGGCCUUCGGGUUGUAAACCGCUUUUUUUGGGGAAGAAACCCUCUGGGUUAAAACCCCGGGGGGAGGACGGUACCGGAAAAAAAAGCACCGGCUAACUACGU